ACCGAUCUAUUCAUGGCACAGAGAGCCGAACGCAGCCCCUCUGCCGCCAGACAGUUUUAUUGAAGAUCAGCGCACCGGUUCUCUGAUGUUGCACAACCUGUCUGAAGCCUUUGCUGGUACCUACACAUGUAAAGCGUCUAAUGAACUCGGUCAGGCAGCGUGCAGCGUAACCCUCAGAAUGACCUAUGGAGGAACCGCAGCUGUGAUUGGCGGAGUGUUGAUGGGAAUCUUUCUCGUUCUGCUGUUGAUUGGGGUAACGGUCACCUUUGUCACCUGGAACAGGAAGAAGCACAUCCAGAAAACAUAUGCAAAUGAGCAGAGGUGUGUAUUUAAAUCACUGUGAACUAGAUAUGAUGUUCAGCAUUUUUAUUAUUUGUUUUGUUCAA